GUCAUCGAUUGGAAGAAAUAUUGAACUUACUUAUUUCUGUAAGACAGAACUAAGAUGGAUGGAUGGAGGCUUCAUGAAGGCAAUUUGGGUUCCAUGUGAGGAAGAAAUAUUCAACCACAACUUUUAAAAUAGAAAGGGCUGUCUUAUCAGUCCUUCCGGAAAAAAACUACAGCCUGCUGGGUCAUUAAGAAAAGGUGCUGGUAUGGCAGAUAAUUGGUACUCAUAUUGUCGUUUGUUCCAAGACCAAGGCAGAUACAGCAAGGAGUUUACAAAGAAACUGCCCUAUGGAUUGGGAGUGAGGAAAGGAAUAGGAGAGUGUUUUCACCUACGAAGAAAUAAAGGAAACAACCACUUCAAAUUUAUCCUAUUCUACCAUGAAGACUACUUGUGGGAAGAGAGGAAAAUACUUUUUGCCUCCUGCAAAACAAAGUCCAUCUGAUGGAAGUGUGGGUAAGUAAUAAAUUGAAGAACAUCAAGAUAAGAGGCAAGUACACCAGUUUCAGGAGGUGUGUGUAAAAGUCUCCAGCUAA